GGGUUGUGAGGUUAAGCGACUAAGCGUACACGGUGGAUGCCCUGGCAGUCAGAGGCGAUGAAGGGCGUGCUAAUCUGCGAUAAGCGCCGGUAAGGUGAUAUGAACCGUUAUAACCGGCGAUACCCGAAUGGGGAAACCCAGUGUGACUCGUCACACUAUCAUUAACUGAAUCCAUAGGUUAAUGAGGCGAACCGGGGGAACUGAAACAUCUAAGUACCCCGAGGAAAAGAAAUCAACCGAGAUUCCCCCAGUAGCGGCGAGCGAACGGGGAGGAGCCCAGAGCCUGAAUCAGCAUGUGUGUUAGUGGAAGCGUCUGGAAAGGCGCGCGAUACAGGGUGACAGCCCCGUACACAAAAGCGCAUGUGCUGUGAGCUCGAUGAGUAGGGCGGGACACGUGGUAUCCUGUCUGAAUAUGGGGGGACCAUCCUCCAAGGCUAAAUACUCCUGACUGACCGAUAGUGAACCAGUACCGUGAGGGAAAGGCGAAAAGA
rnacentral:rRNA from 1 species